AACUAACGCUGGCGGCGUGCCUAACACAUGCAAGUCGUACGAGAAAGUUGGCUUCGGCCGAUGAGUAAAGUGGCGCACGGGUGAGUAACGCGUGGAUAAUCUGCCCUUAAGUUUGGAAUAACGUACCGAAAGGUGCGCUAAUACCGAAUAACACUGAGUGACUACUGUUGCUCAGUCAAAGAAGGCCUCUGUUUACAAGCUUUUGCUGAAGGAUGAGUCCGCGUACCAUUAGCUAGUUGGUAGGGUAAUGGCCUACCAAGGCUUCGAUGGUUAGCUGGUCUGAGAGGAUGAUCAGCCACACUGGAACUGAGACACGGUCCAGACUCCUACGGGUGGCAG
rnacentral:rRNA from 1 species